rnacentral:rRNA from 1 species
UAGGGAAUCUUCGGCAAUGGGGGCAACCCUGACCGAGCAACGCCGCGUGAGUGAAGAAGGUUUUCGGAUCGUAAAGCUCUGUUGUAAGAGAAGAACGUGUGUGAGAGUGGAAAGUUCACACAGUGACGGUAACUUACCAGAAAGGGACGGCUAACUACGUGCCAGCAGCCGCGGUAAUACGUAGGUCCCGAGCGUUGUCCGGAUUUAUUGGGCGUAAAGCGAGCGCAGGCGGUUUAAUAAGUCUGAAGUUAAAGGCAGUGGCUUAACCAUUGUUCGCUUUGGAAGCUGUUAAACUUGAGUGCGGAAGGGGAGAGUGGAAUUCCAUGUGUAGCGGUGAAAUGCGUAGAUAUAUGGAGGAACACCGGUGGCGAAAGCGGCUCUCUGGUCUGUAACUGACGCUGAGGCUCGAAAGCGUGGGGAGCAAACAGG